rnacentral:rRNA from 1 species
CCUACGGGUGGCUGCAGUGGGAAUAUUGCACAAUGGGCGCAAGCCUGAUGCAGCCAUGCCGCGUGUGUGGAGAAGGCCUUCGGGUUGUAAAGCACUUUCAGCGGGGAGGAAGGCGGUGAGGUUAAUAACCUCAUCGAUUGACGUUACCCGCAGAAGAAGCACCGGCUAACUCCGUGCCAGCAGCCGCGGUAAUACGGAGGGUGCAAGCGUUAAUCGGAAUUACUGGGCGUAAAGCGCACGCAGGCGGUCUGUCAAGUCGGAUGUGAAAUCCCCGGGCUCAACCUGGGAGCUGCAUUCGAAACUGGCAGGCUAGAGGCUUGUAGAGGGGGGUAGAAUUCCAGGUGUAGCGGUGAAAUGCGUAGAGAUCUGGAGGAAUACCGGUGGCGAAGGCGGCCCCCUGGACAAAGACUGACGCUCAGGUGCGAAAGCGUGGGGAGCAAACAGGAUUAGAUACCCCUGUAGUC